rnacentral:lncRNA from 1 species
AAAAGUCUAGGAUUAUGAGCUCUGAUAAACAAAAGGCAGCCUUCCUUAACUGAUACUUUUUUUUUUUUUCUUUUCUCCUCAGUGUCUAUUAGCAGGGUUUUAGGCCUAUGAUACAGAGCAGUUCCUGUGGUUUUUGUUGGUGAUUUAUGUCUGCAUACAUAACUGACUGCUUUUGGUCUGGUCUCAAUGUCUCUUAAAAACUGCAAGCUUCCCAGUCUUCACUGUAUGUUCUGUUUAUGUACUGAAGACUUAAAGAAAAGGAGGGCAAGAUCCAUUUGGACAUCUGUACCUGAAAGGACAUCAAAGAGAAGGAGUUUUCAAGUGGUGUUUCCUUGCUAUGGAGAGAGAGAGAGACGGGGGCUUAUUGCCACAGUUAUUACUAGAAGACCAGCUGAGGACACCGAGAGCAAAGAUCUUUGGGUCCGGUCUUGUUUAUACAGCUUCAUGAGGGACAAAAUUCCUAACCUACAUGGAACAAGGUAAUUAAUUCUUCCAGGACUCAAAUAAAUUUACUUUUCCUUCAAAUAAUGUAUUAUUA